GGCGAGUGUAGAGGGACGAGCCCAAGAUUGAAAGCUGGCGUCUUCGGCGUCCGCAUUGUAAUCUCAAGAAGUGUUUUCCGCUUCGGACCAUGCCUAAGUCCCUUGGAAAAGGGCAUCAUAGAGGGUGAUAAUCCCGUACAUGGCAUGGAGCGCCCGAGGCUUUGUGAUACGCUUUCUAAGAGUCGAGUUGUUUGGGAAUGCAGCUCAAAAUGGGUGGUAAAUGCCAUCUAAGGCUAAAUAUUGGGGAGAGACCGAUAGCGAACAAGUACAGUGAUGGAAAGAUGAAAAGAACUUUGAAAAGAGAGUUAAACAGUACGUGAAAUUGCCAAAAGGGAAGGGUAGGAGGUCAGAGAUGCGUCUUGGGAUUCAGCCUUGCUUUUGCUUGGUGUUUUUCCCAAGUUGCAGGCCAACGUCGGUUUUGGGCACUGGAGAAGGGUGGAAGGAACGUGGCACCUCUCGGGGUGUGUUAUAGCCUUCUACUGGAUACAGCGACC
rnacentral:rRNA from 1 species